UUGCAAUCGCGCCUCCGAGAAAUAUCUGGAACAACAAGUCCUGUGCAUCAGUUCCGCGCUCGAGCGCCAUGGACGAGGAAGGGGAUCUCCCCGAUGGCAACGGGGGCUGCUGGUGCGGACGCAUCCUCGCCCGCUCGUAGCAGACCACACCGCCGCCGCCGCGGCGUGCGGCCACCGCACGAGCACCUCCCUGUCGGCGCAGACCGCACGGAGCCCCGCCCCCGCCGCGGCGUGCAGCCACCGCACGGACACUUCCCCGGUCGGCGCAGACCGCAGGGAGCCCCGCCGCGGCGGCGUGUGGCCAUCGCUCCGGCACCACCUUGCUCGCUCGGCGCGGCCCGUAGGGAGCGGGCACCAUGCGGGGCUGCAGGCACCUCCUCGCCCGCUCGGUGUACCGUCUCUAUUGCAACGGCUCAAGCUUGCUUGGGUGCGGUUGCUGCUAGCUUUGUCGCUGCAACUUCAGCUCGUCUCCUCACAGCAAACUAGAGCAGGAAGAGGAAGGCAGGAAGCUUGGUCGCUGCAAGAACAAUGGAGGUGGUGCUCGAUAAUGCUGCUGGCAUGGUGGCUGGCUACAUGGCCAGGCAGCACCGGGGCUUGAGGAAGAGGAAGUGGGGCAAGUGGGUGUCGGAGAUCAUCAGAUCAGGGAGCCCGGCAAGAAGAUGCGCGCAUCUGGCUUGGCAGCUUUGAGUCCCCGGAGAUGGCCGCGGUGACGUCGCAGCCGUUUCCGGCCUGACCGGCCUCGGCGGCGGCGACAGCGACAGCUCCUGCAACAGCUUCCUUGCUCGCUCGGCGUGCGGCCACCGAGCCGGCGCCUCCUCGCCCACUCAGCGCAGCCUGCAGGGCCGAUUCCGAGCGCGGCCUCCGCCGACGACCCCGCGCGCUGGCGAUGGUGCCAAAUCAAUGGAGGUACUGGACAGAGGGUGGACGAGUUUGGGCCAGACAGAUCCAUCUUCUGCGGGUGGCGAGUUGUGGGUGAUGAUGCACAGAUUUAGGUGCAAAACUCGAUUUCAGCAAGGUGCAAGUGAGCAAUAAAACCUACUCAUGUAAAGGCGGGUACCGUUGGAGAUUUCAACUCUGGACUAUUUUGCUCCACCGCCAAGUGAGCCUGACAAAAUGGACCGAUACUGUUGCGACCUGCCAAGUCCAUUCAAAUAUUGUACUGUGCAAGAUUCCCACUCCGGAAACAUCCUAAGCCACGCGUCCGCCUGCUCCCUCGGUUCAUGUAUAUUAAAAUAUAACAAGGUCACUCGAAUACACUACAAACUGUUCCAAAAUACAGCUCAGGUACGCGCCGUCGUAGCUCCAAUCGCUGAUCUACUUCUUCCACGCCGUACAGAUAGCCGGCGCAUUGGCGCCGCGCGGCACAAAAUCCGCUCUCGGAAGGAACCCCACCGUCGCAGGACCGCAGGAGCACCUGCACGCAGCACUCUUCACGAGUGAGGGUGCGUUUAGUUCCCAAAAGAAAAAAUUUUGGAUGUCUCGUCAACGUUUGACCAGAUGUCGGGAGGGUUUUUCGGACACUAAUUAAAAAACUAAUUUCAGAACUCACUUGGAAACCGCGAGACGAAUCUUUUAAGGCCUUUGACCGCGACAUUAGCACAUGUGGGUUACUG